UACGUAGGUGGCAAGCGUUGUCCGGAUUUACUGGGCGUAAAGGAUGCGUAGGCGGAUAUUUAAGUGGGAUGUGAAAACCCUAAGCUCAACUUAGGAACUGCAUUCCAAACUGGAUAUCUAGAGUGCGGGAGAGGUAAGUGGAAUUCCUAGUGUAGCGGUGAAAUGCGUAGAGAUUAGGAAGAACACCAGUGGCGAAGGCGACUUACUGGACCGUAACUGACGCUGAGGCAUGAAAGCGUGGGGAGCAAACAGG
rnacentral:rRNA from 1 species